GAUGAACGCUGGCGGCGUGCCUAAUACAUGCAAGUCGAGCGAACAGACGAGGAGCUUGCUCCUCUGACGUUAGCGGCGGACGGGUGAGUAACACGUGGAUAACCUACCUAUAAGACUGGGAUAACUUCGGGAAACCGGAGCUAAUACCGGAUAAUAUAUUUAACCGCAUGGUUCAAUAGUGAAAGACGGUUUUGCUGUCACUUAUAGAUGGAUCCGCGCCGCAUUAGCUAGUUGGUAAGGUAACGGCUUACCAAGGCGACGAUGCGUAGCCGACCUGAGAGGGUGAUCGGCCACACUGGAACUGAGACACGGUCCAGACUCCUACGGGAGGCAGCAGUAGGGAAUCUUCCGAAAUGGGCGAAAGCCUGACGGAGCAACGCCGCGUGAGUGAUGAAGGUCUUCGGAUCGUAAAACUCUGUUAUUAGGGAAGAACAAAUGUGUAAGUAACUAUGCACGUCUUGACGGUACCUAAUCAGAAAGCCACGGCUAACUACGUG
rnacentral:rRNA from 1 species